UUUUUUUUUUUUUUUGGGACGGAGUCUCGCUCUGCUGCCUGGGCUGGAAUGUAGUGGUGUGAUCUUGGCUCACUGCAACCUCUGCCUCCUGGGUUCAGUGAUUCUCCUGCCUCAGCCUCCCGAGUAGCUGACAUUACAGGUGCCCACCACCAUGCCCAGCUAAUUUUUUGUAUUUUUAGUAGAGAUGGGGUUUCACCAUGUUGGCGAGGCUGGUCUUGAACUCCUGACCUCGUGAUUCGCCCACCUCGGCCUCCCAAAAUACUGGGAUUACAGGCAUGAGCCACCGUGCCCGGCUAUAAAUACUUUCUUAAUGCUAAGAAAAAGGAGGAAAAUCAGCAUUUAUUGAAUACCUACAAUGUGCUGGAUACUUUCUGCCAUAUGAUUCCCCCUCGCCCCUUUCUACUAGGAGUAAGCCUGGCUUUGGGCAAGCCAGAGAACUUGAAGCUGUGAGGAGAUGGGGCCAGGAUUCGACCCUGCCUGCUGUGUCUGGAGCCCAUGCUGUAUCUACAAGUGCUAUAAAUGUGAUUUACUGCUUGUUUCUGACAUUGUGGAAAGAGCUUCUGCUUGGGCAUUUUGGCUGAUCUACCAUUUCAGCCAGGGGUUGCUAUAGGCAAGCACAUCUCUGGCUGUUGAUCAAGAAAGCACAAAAGUCUGAGAGAUUGAUAAACACAGUCGUUUUGGACCAGAGGAGGAGUAUGAUGUCUGUCUUUCAGACCAAGUUAAGCUCAAGGGCAUGAUGAGCUCAGACUUUUAAGAAUUUUUAUUUUUGAUGUUUCCAUGUCCUUGUUUUCUUCCUUUUGGUUGGGAAAACAUCUUACGGUUAUAUCUACGGGGUUUUAAUGGCAUCUGACACUGUUGCUCACUUCUGUUCUUCUCCCAUGGUUUCCACAACACUGUAUUGAUCUGCUACUUUUCUUCCUUUUAAAUUUUUUACUGCCUCUUUUUCUCCAUCUGCUUAACAUGCCCUCACUCCCAAAGCUCAGCUGAGGGACCUGUUAAGCCUGAAGGCUUGGCACUUCAGCACUUCCUUUUCAGAAAGUCUCAUCUGUCAGUAACCUUUGAAGCCUUCAAAAUCUCCAUAUCCUUCCCUGACUGCUCACCUCUGCUCCAGUCUGAUAAUUUCAGAGGCCUGGAGGAUGUCCUCAUAUAAACUUUACAGGUCAAAUGUGUAUUGUCUCAUUUGUGUCUUCAAGAUGGGCAUACCAUCCCAUUCACAGACAAGAACGCUGAAACUCAGGAACACAAAGUAGCUUGUUUAGAAUUAGUUAAGUGACAGAGCUGGCCUUGAAUUCAAGCCUUCAGAUGUUAAAUCCAGUGGCUCUGAUGCCACUAGAAUGUUCUGGUACUAACUGGAGAAGAAUUAUACUACACGUCCGAAAUAAAAGUUACAACCUGCUCCCCAUUCACCAUCAGAUUGGGUCUAAUAUUCUGCCAAAUGCAAAACCUUUGAGUCACUUUGAGUACUCUUCAUUCUGCUGCUUCCAUCUCUGGAAAGGCUCCCAUUCUGAAGAGGACAGGACAAUAUCCUGCUGGGAGGAGACUGGUGGGGCUCGGGGGGGUCACAUUUACUUCCGCCAUGGAUAAACAGAAUGGGAAUGUAUAUUUUUUAAAGUAUUGACCUAUUUCAUACAGCAAAAUAUACUUUUGGUUAAUCCUAAAUACCAAUCACAUCACACCAAUUCAGUAAGCUUUGUCUACCUCCAAGAAUUGUCCUUCUAUCUGUCCUACACGUGGAGGCCAGUUUAAUUACCUUAAUUGUGCCCCUUGUCCUCCUCCAUAGGGACCAGCCCAGGUCUCCUGGAUAAAAAUACAAUCCUUGAAUGCCGGUGGGGGCAGCCCAGGGGAGGCCUAGGUAGCCUUUCCUUCUAAGGUGUGGUAUAGCCCAUCAAGCUCAGGUUAAAAGACUAGGGAUUGAAUAAAGAAGUUGAAGUUCAUAUACACAGAGCAUUUAAGGACAGAUGAAAAAAAUCAGAUUGGAAAUAAAAGAGAAAGGAAAGUUCCAAAGGGCUUUAAAAUAAAGUACCUUAACCCUGGCCACACUGCAGCAGAGCCUGAUGUGGACUCAACAGCUAACCCCUUCUCAUUCAGCCUGCCUGCUACUCUCACAAUAAAACAGCUGCUCUCACUGCCCCCCCGCCUUACUCAUGACCCCUCACCAACACUCUGUGAUGGAAAUCUCUUUGUUUCUGGAGGCCAAAUGGCUCAUUCUAGAUUAAUUAUUAUUGGUUCCAUGGAAAAACAGGUUUGGUUCAUUACACGUUCAACUUGCUAAGUCACCGCUUGACCUUAGCUCAGAAAAACCUUAGCUCAUAGAAGAGAAAUCUGCAAAGUAGUGCCUGAGUAGGCACCAGCACGGAUCAGGAGGAGGGAUGUGUGAACCCCAGGUCUAGAGGAAUAUUUUACUAAGGAGUGUCAUAUUUUUAUAUGCACACACAUCUGUAUCUAACUAUAUCUGUGUAUGUGUGUAUGUAUUUGGUUUAAAGAGCAGAGCAGUUUAAGACUUGUACAAAAAGAGAGUUGUUUGUCUGAAACUCAAAGAAGGUGACCAUGAGUAUUCUUGACCAUGGGACUCUAGACCACUGAGAGUUAGAGCAACUUUUAGCAUGUUAAAGAAUGACCUGUGGGAUUUUUAAAUACUUAAAAAUCAGUUAUGAGGCUGGGCUCAGUGGCUCACACCUGUAAUCCCAGCACUUUGGGAGGCUAAAGCAGGAUUGCUUGAGCCCAGGGAAUUUGAGACUAGCCUGGGCAACAUGGCAAGAUCCCAUCUCUACAAAAAAUAAAAAAAAAUGUGCUGAGUGUGGUGGCCUGUGCCUGUAGUCCCAGCUGCUUGAGAGGCUGAGAUGGGAGGACUGCUUGAGCCCAGGAGGUCAAGGCUGCAGUGAGCUGUGUUCAAACCAUUGCAUUCUAGCCUGGGCAACAGAUCAAGACUCCGUCUCAAAAAAAAAAAAAAUUAGUUAUGAUUUGAUAUGAGACUAGGACCAAAUGCGUUCUUAUAAGUCAAAUAAGAAAAGGUAUGUGAGUUUUUACAUUUACUUAAAAAGCCUCUGCCGGGCGUGGUGGCUCAUGCCUGUAAUCCCAGCACUUUGGGAGAGGCCAAGGCAGGCAGAUCACCUGAGGUCAGGAGCUUCGGAUCAGCCUAACCAACAUGGAGAAACCCCAUCUCUACUAAAAAUACAAAAUUAGCCAGGCGUGGUGGCGCAUGCCUGUAAAUCCCAGCUACUCGGGAGGCUGAGGCAGGAGAAUCGCUUGAAUCCAGGAGGCAGAGGUAGCGGUGAGCUGAGAUCAUGCCAUUGCACUCCAGCCUGGGUAACAAGAGUGAAACUCCAUCUCAAAAAAAAAAAAAAAAAAAAAAGCCUUUGAGCUGCCCUGUCUGCACUAACCCUUAUGGUAAGGGGUAAGGAGUUUGAAUACAGAAGUUGGGGAUUUCGAGAUGAAGCAAAAAUGAACUCUGCCUCAGAGGGCUCAUCAUUUGGGAAAGUCAGUAAACAAAAUAAUCCCAAUAUAGUAUGAGAAAUGCUAAAACAGGAGGCUGCACGAAAGGCUGCUGGGAUUUGGAGGAAGGACUGACUGGCUCCUACUCAGGCUUUAUUUUGUUUCAUACUGUGCCAUUUUUAUUUAGGAGAUAAUCAAAGUGGAGAUAACAAAAAGCAGCUCACAAGAUGGAUGGCCCUGCUUUGCUGAUGUGCAUCACUGCUGAACUGCCUGGAGGUUUCCGGCUGACGAAACCUCAGGUCCAAGGGUAACUCUAGGCUUCACCUCCCAAGCCGCCUAUUCACCUGGUGGUGGCAGAGAAAGCAAAAGGCAAACUCCUCAGUGGCUCCAAGGGGCCACUCAGGCAGCAGAACCUCUUUGCUCAGAGGAAGCCGAACUCCAUACCAAGGAAUUCCAACCUCUCUUCCACCGGCUCCUUCUCAUCAUGCUGAAGGUUCUCUCAUCCUGUAAAGCAGCCUCUUGACUAUCAUCCCUACUAGCUAUUGCCCAUUUACUCUUCUUUUAAUUCCCCAAAUUCUCAAAAGAGGACGGGCUCACCUUCACUGUGAAUGAAUUCUGUGGCCCAUUCACAUCUGGCUUCCGCCUACUCUAAGGCAUGAGUGUUUCUUUUUCUACACCAUCAAUGGGCACCAUCAUUACUGAAGCAAAUGCUUUUCAUGCUCCUCUCCCUUGUCACCUGCACCUCCCCAGAUCCGGUCCUCUGCUGCCUUCGUGGUGCCCUCUCUCCUGGUUCUCAUCUCACCCCUCUGCUGCUGAUUGGUCUCCAUCAGGAAUCUUCAGCCCAUCGCCAGCUGCUGGCCUUUCCCAGAUCUGUUUUCAGUCCCCUCAUAUCACAGAUUCAUCCUGUGGGAAUUCUACCAGCUCUGUGGCUUCUACUGCCACCACUUUAGUCUCACAAUUUUGGCUACUUACUGAAUAUCUCCAUCUGCUUAUCACAUAAACACCUCAAACUCAAUAUAUUCAAACUCACUCACUUUCCUCCAGAUUCUGGUACUCUUAAAAUUUCCACUCUUUCCUUAGCUACCCUAGCUAGGAGUUAUACAGUAAUCUGCAAUUCCUCCCUCUCCCUCACCUCCAAAAUCUGAGUGUUCACCAAGUCCUUUUGAUUCUACUCUGAAGUAUUUCUAGAAUCUCUCCUUUCCUCUUCCUCCCUAUUCCCACUGUUUCAGUACCUCAUAUUAUCUUUCCUGAACCAGUUUCCCAAGUGGUUUAUCAAACCCCAGCUUCUUCCACUUGAAUUCAUCCUCCCCUCUGCCAUUGGACUUACAGUAUAAUAGAGAAAAUGCCACAUCCCUGUUCAAAAUACUCCCAAAGCUUUCCAUCAGUAAUAGGAUAUAUUUUGAACGGUGUAUAUAAAAGGGUCUUUAUAACUAGGUGCAUUUCUUUCCUGUCUCAUCUCCACAUUAUUUCCUUAACUCACUUAUCCUAAAAAUCAGAUUUUAUGAAUUAUUCCCAAUAUUUGGAAUGGAUUGCAUCAGCCCACGAAUACACUGUUCUCUCUGCCUUGGACAUCCUUUCCUCUUUAUCUACCUACCAGAUUUCUAAUUGCACUUCCAAGACUGAGCUCUAGGACAUAUGUGUAAAACCCUUCUGAGGGGGUUUCUACACAUGUAUUAUGGCAUUUUCCACGCAGUGUUUGCAUGCCUGUCUCCCUUACCCGAGUACAAACUCCUUAGUGUAGCUAUCCAUUUCUGUGACCACAUGGCUUAACCUAGACGUUGGUCCAUAGUAGAUACUCAAAUGUUUGCUGAGUUGACUUGAAGGUACACAAGGCUUUUCUCCUUAACAAUAGGACCAGACUUUAACCUCUGCAUGCCCGAACGCUCUUGGUAAUAGUGCUACAGACAUAGCAGGUGAGGAACAAAACAGUCAGCUGGUUACGGAGGCAACCGUGAAGCACCAGAAGUGGUUAAAAGCAGCUGUGAAAGGGCAGGCAUGGGGCGGGGUACUCUUGCUUUUCAUUAUACAUCUUUGUGAAGUAUUUGCUUUUGCAACCAUGUCCAUGUUUCUUUGGCAAAUAUAAUAAACAAAAUCCUUUGUUGGUUAUGAAUAAUCUAUUGAUGUGUCUGCAAACUACAAGGGACCACUUUCCAUAUAUUUAAAAGGACAGAUUAUGGGCCGGGAACAGUGGCUCACGUCUGUAAUCCCAGCACUUUGGGAGGAUGAGGCUGGAGGAUCACUUGAGGUCAGGAGUUUGAGACCAGCCUGGCCAACAUGGUGAAACCUGUCUGCACUAAAAAUACAAAAAUUAGCUAGGUGUGGUGGCGGGCACCUGUAGUCCCAGCUACUCGGGAAGCUGAGGCAGGAGAAUCGCUUGAACCCAGGAGGCAGAGGUUGCAGUGAGCCGAGGUCGCCCCACUGCACUCCAGCCUGGGCGAUGGAGCCAGACUCUGUCUAAAAAUAAAUGAAUAAAUGGACAGGUUACGUUCUGAGGCUUAACUCCAAACAGGCUAUGUCAUCAGUGUGUGUCAGUGACGAGGGAGAUAGCCAAGCAUGAGGCUGCACGGGGAGGGUCACUAGGCCAGCAGAGCCCUGCGCCUCAGAACAAAGCAAUGGCCCUGCACAGAGAACAUGGGCUCACUCUGCCGUCUGCUAAUGUGUAAAGAUAAUGCUCAUCAUCUGUAUGUAUGUUUUGUGCAGGGUUUACUAAAAAUAUGAGAAUACUGUAGGAAAACAUGAUUUUAUUCCUUCUAACCCCUAACAUACGUAAAGAGUGAAGGAGAUGAAGCCUUUGCAAGCUAUUUCUGCCAGCUUAUGAAAACUAGAAUUUUAAUAUUUUAGGCAGAAGAUUUUCAUAUAUACGAACACAUAUAUGUACAUGUAUUUGGUUAAAGGAAGUGGGCCUUAGUGCUGGGGCAUCCAAGUGUAGAAAGGGUGAGGCUGAGAUUUCUAUUGAGGACAAUUUAGUACUUGGGUUGUGAGCCAAACACGAAGAAGGUGGGCACUGUGAUGUGUACCAGCAGGCUCAAUGGGCACGUUACCCAGCGUGGAUCACAGGUCGAUUCUUUCAAAGGCCAGAGAUGAAGAUAAAUCAGUCUUUGCUAAAAACAUCCCACGGCUGCGCGUUACAAAGGCAUAUUUUGCUUCAGUAUGUAAUUUCCUCACUACUUAACUAUAAAAGUGUAUCAGAAUUGAAUUCUAGGGCUUUUUCUAAAUGAGAGCUGAGUCACAGGUAUCUCGGUGCUGUGUCUGCAGACUAAAGUGGAUGACUCACAUCUGUAAAAUUCUGAGAGAAAGUACCAACCGACCCCUUGCUUAGUCAUCUUUUGCAUGGAUGCUGGGUUCAUGAGCUCUGUAAACUAUAAUGAGCGAUCUAGCCUUUUACCAUCUCUUUAUUCUUUUCUAAACAGUACAAAUUACAUCUCUAAAAAUAACUUCAUCUACGCAAGUGAGUCACUUCAACCUAACAAGCUUCCACAAGUUACUCAGCUAAAUUGUACUAUUUACUGUGAAGGUAAAAAUCUUGUUGUCAUAUUAGUCCCAUUUUUUUCUUUCUUUCUUUUUUUUUUUUUUGAGAUAAAAAUUUGGUAGACUUGGAAAAGGGAGGAGGUUUCAGCAAAUGUUUUAAAAAACAUAUGAUUUACUCCUAACCUCUCACAUGGGCAGGGGUUGUGAUGGGGCUGGAGGAAGGAAUUCUUUGAAAACUAUUUCUAACAGCGCAUGAAAAUCAGAAUUUUAAUAUUUCAGGCUGUAGCUUAAGCAAAGACUCUGCAAUUUUCUUUGUGUGAGCCCAUGCGUAAGCUGUCCUCUCUGCGGGAUGUUUAUUGGCUGUUGGAAGAGAUAUAUAUCAAUAAUUCUAUUUGCUUUAAAAUCCUGAUCUGUGAAAUUAUGACAUUUUUGACGAGAGACCCAGCCACGCUAAUAAAUGCAUAUGUAUUAAAUACUAAUCUUUGCUCUUCCAGGAGCUGAUCACUCACCACACCCUGAAUUCUCUAGACACACAACUAAGCUUUGGUACUCCACCCGUUUACUGUGUAGCUUUCCAACCCCGAGGCCUGCCUGCUGGUCUUUAGCUUGCCUUUCCUGGCCUGGCAUUGUCAGCUCUCAGCAGCCCCACCCCAGGCCUAUCCCAGUUAGGCAAUAGGUACAAUGGAGGCAAGAGCAGGUGACCUGCAUGAGGCUUAUACCUUCACAACCUGGGCAGCAAUACUGAAAUAUCAAAGCACUGUUAAUCCACACUCUAGCCUCAGUCAAAGUGGACUAGAAGGAUUUCUCAUUCAUGUUUGGCCAGGAAUGAAAUUACUAAUACCAACAGGCCUAGAAAGUUUCCACUGCUGUUUCAGCUUCUCCUUUAAGACAUCAGAUCCGUUGGCUUCAUCCAAAUGGCCACGUGAACAACCUUUCCCUGUGCAUGGGGGUGCUUUAGAAGAGGAAAAUGAAAUCACUGGUCCAUCUGAAAAUUCCCCAGGAAAUGGACUGCAAAGCCUACUUCCUGACUCCAACGAAGGCAGAGGCUGAGUCAUCUAAUCCCUCCCGACUAGUAUUCACUUGACUUGCACCAAGUAGGUCAGCUGGAGUCGUCUGAAUUCUGCUCUCUGUCCUCGUAAGCAGCCACCCCCUGCAGUGGAGCUACUGGAGCAUGCUGGGUCUGGUCUCUUCUGCGAGGUCUUCACUCAGCCUCAGCCCACAAAGUUGAUGUUACAUAACCUCUCCUAAGUUUCUCUUUUCUCAUUUGCAAAAUGGGAAGAGUCACACCAUUUACCUCUCAGGGCUGUGACGAUGAAAAGGGACACUGUACAUGCAAGUGCUACACAGACUUCAAGGUGCUCUGACCACUCAGCUCUCCCAUUUCAGCAAGUGGUUACUGAGCUCUUGUCUAGUGCCUAACACCGGGCCAGGCGCUGUGCAUAACAAAGAGUUAAAACAUGGUUUAGAAGCCUGGGCAACAUGGCAAAACCCUGUCUCUACUAAAAACACAAAAAAUUAGCUGGGCAUGGUGGGUGCACCUGUAGUCCCAGCUACUGGCAUAGGGGGUUGAGGUGGGAGGAUUGCCUGAGUCUAGGAGGUUAAGGCUGCAGUGAGCCAAGAUCGCACCACUGCAUUCUGGUCCUGACAACAGAAUGAGAUUCUGUCUCAAAAAACAAAACAAAACAUGGUUUAGAUUUAGUCCUGGACCUCAGUAAGCAAAUUAAGCAGAAUAAUGAAGCAAAUACAUAUGACAAUUAAGGAACCAUUCAAGAUAACAGAUCUCAUAAUUACGUUAUUUGGAUCAAGUGUUAUUCAGGUGGGAGUGCUCGGUUAGACAGUGAAGCUGAAGACAGCUUUUAAGAAAUGGUGCAAGAAAGAUGAGGAGGUCAAGGAGAAAAAGCAAGAAGGGUCAACAAAGAGGCCAAGGCUGAGUGGGAGAGAAAGCUGGAUGGGGAAGGUGAGCCUGUCUACUGGGGAAGGCCGCCAGAUAAAGGUGGUGUCUUGAAAUGAUUAAUGUGGUGGCAAGGCCCAAGAGCCACAGACAAACCAGCUGGCCAGUGAGCUAGUCCUGGAGGUGACAGGUUAUAAGCAAGGGUGAAGGCACGGGAGUGGCAAACACAGGAAUGAGUAACACCUUGCAUUUCUAUAGCACAUGACGCCUUCCCCUUUGCUUUCAUGUGAUUUAAUCCUCACAAACCUCCAUGAGCUAGGCAGGGUAAGUGUCAAUCUCAUUUCACAGACGAGGAAGCUGAAUCUCGGAGCCACUGCGUGGUGAGGCUGAGAAGUUAACCCAGUUUCCUGACUAAGAUGGGUGCUCCUUUGACUGCCUGUGUAGCCUCCACACUUGCUGGGUAUCAGAUUUACCCAUGAAGCUGUUUUAUUUUUUAUUUUUUUUGGAGACAGUCUUGCUCUGUUGCCCAGGCUGGAGUGCAGUGGUAUAAUCUCGGCUCACUGCAACCUCUGCCUCCCAGGUUCAAGCAAUUCUCGUACCUCAUCCUCCCAAGAAGCUGGGACUACAAGUCCAUGCCACUACAUGCAGCUAAUUUUUGUAUUUUUAGUAGACACGGGGUUUCACUAUGUUGGCCAGGCUGGUCUCGAACUCCUGACCUCAAGUGAUCCUCCCACCUCGGCCUCCCAAAGUGCUGGGAUUAGAGGCGUGAGCCACUGGGCCUGGCCUGAAGCUAUUUUAUUAAAACCACACAAGUUCAGCAACCAAUCCUCCCUAACCCCUUUCAGAUUGAACAGUGGAACAGGGAGAGGAGAGAAGAGAAGAAAGGCAGGAGGUGCUCAGUCCUCAGAAUCUGCCAAGGCUCUCAGGGGUUCUGACGUAGUCAGGGCAUGAACCACUGCACCCACUGCACUGUACAAUGUGGUACCUAAGUGGUUAAGAAGGAGAAAAGAGACGGGCAAAUGAGACAUCAUUCCAAGGGCUGAAGCCUCAGUUCAUAGAAACUGGUCUGCCAUUAAAAGCUGGAUGGAGCAGAAAAUGUUCGGUCCGUGGAAUUGGGUAAGAACUGUGCCCUAAACAGGGACGUCGUAUCAGCUCCAUGUGCCUGUGCUAGCUCUUAUUUUUACCCUUCACAGCCAGAGUAAGAAAGUUCCACGGCAUUCCAGAAGACUGGCUGCAAGCAGUGUGGCCAUGGAUGACUUCCUGCACUUGCCCUCCUCCAGUGAGACAGAUCCCAGCCUCUCCAUUUCCCAAACCUGUAUCCCUCCACAUGUCGUCCCAGCCACGUCAGUCCCCAGUUCAAUGGCCUCUCUGUCAAGCCUUCCCCAGCUCCCUCACGCAGAGGGAGGUGCUCCCUUCUGAUUCCCACAGAACCCUCGGAAGUCCCUAUCCCACUGUGGGCUUUCUUGGUCUCAGAAACUUCCCUGCCAGGCAAUGAGCAGCUUGACAGCAGGGACCAUCUUGCAUUAUCCUGUACCUCUGGGAUGGGACAGGCUCAAUAACUGUUGGUUUACGUGGAGCCCCGCUGAGUCUUCAGUCAAACUGAAAAAGUUCUGUCCAAUUCUUGACUUUCUGCUAUGCUCCCACCACUCUUUGGAGCAAAAGUGAGCUUCACAGAAGUCUGAAGUCACCUUCAUUUGACUGUUCUGAAUUACACCAAGGUCUGAAUCCUUGAGUUGAGCCAGUUCGCGUUCCUCUUAUCUUGCAGCCUUUGCCUAAGCAACAGGCUGUCCCUUUUGUUAUGUGGGGUUCCAUCACUACUCCACUUUCCUCCUCAAAGCUACAAGUUUUAAAGGAUUUUGCCUAAAGGAUCAUUUUCCCAUGACAUGUCCAAAUUAUUACACCCAGCAACCACAUUUCUAAACCUAAAACAAAAAACUUGAUAUUUAAUUUAGUUUUUACAACUUUUUCAUGGAUAAGUGUUUGAUUUCUAUUUGUCCUUUGAAUUGAAGUUCUGAACAUAUUAUGGUCACAGACCUUCAUUGUUGCUUUUUGAACAGUAAGCUGGUCUAAAUCCCAGAAGGAAUCUUUUGUCUCCUCUUCAUCAUUCCCAGCCUCCAAAGUGGAAUCUUAAAACCACCUCCUCUUGGAUGCUUUCCCAAAAGAAUUCUCCCAAUUCUCUACCAGCCAACAUAACUCUCCUUCCCCUCCCCUUCCAAAAUGUAUUUGUAUCUACCACAUCUCUCCACACAUGCCAACUGAAAGUUAAUGCUCUUGAAGGUAGGAACCACCUCUACAUUCCACCAUGUGCCUAGAACUGACGGAGUAAUCAUCUGGGAUAAUUAAACAUUACUGAUUGGUAUAAAUGUCAUGAGCUGAGGGUAAUUACCAAGCUUGAGCAUAAAUGCAUACAUAAAAUGAAACUGAAACUUGAGAACUUGUUUUAAAUGUACAAUUUUGAAACUGAUAAGCAGAGUCUUUCUGUAUUGUACCAUAUUGUUAACCUGCCUGGUUGGCCCUUUCCCUUUUAAGUAAUGACUCCAUAAAGGAUGGAUUUGGGGUGAUACAUGCCUUCUAUAUUUAUCCAAAAUCCUUUUCAAAAUCAUGAGACUGCCUCUGGUUUAAUAUGUCAAUGGAAUAUUCACUGUAAAGGGCAUGGAUAUUUAAGAGGGUUGUUUCCUUUACAAUGUGUGGACAGAGCUCUCAAAAUUUCUUUCUUUGAAAAAGAAAACUAGAAAUUAUUUGAAGACUGUGACAGAGUCAUGUCACUGGAAUUGGAAGCACAGCUGUCCCUGUGAGGGCCCAGGCCACGAGGAGAGGAAAUCAUGUUGGUUCACUGACUGGCUGGGGAAUCCUUGAAGGAACAAAUCCAGGGUGCAGCAGGAAGUUGCCUGGGUGGGAGGUAGUGGCUCUUGUCCAGCCUGAGGCCUAAUCAAAUCAAACACACUCGACCACCUUGCAUUUACAAAAAUCUCCUCUAUUUGGGAUGCUGGGUGAAAAUCCUAAGACCUUACACCUGUGUGCUUCUGAAGACGUCCAUAUAUGUGAAGCAGCUGCCUCCUUUUAUCUCAAACACUGCCAAACACCUUAGACAUCCCACUGAGAGCUAGCUAUGUGCUUAUGGACAGCUAUCUUCCAAACUGGGAAGAACCAAAUAAGACACGCUAUAGCCUUUUGUUUCUCCAAGGCUCUGGAACAUAUUCUGUACACAUUAACUCGGUGUGCCUGCAUCUCAUGUAGACCUGCCUCCUGAAUCCCAGGGAAGAGGGCAAGAUCAUAUCAGUAUAAGGAUCAAGAAACACUAGCAUUACAUCACUGUGUGAGUAAGAUAAAGCAAGGCAGAAGAGAAAGAGCUGCAUUUGAAUUUGGACAUUUGAGAACUGGUUUAAAUUUGGUUCUGCAUUUACCACCUGUGGGAUCUUAGGCAAGUCACUAAACCUCUCUGCUAUAGAACGGCAAUCAUGACUUUUAUGUUGCAGUGUUUCAUAAAUAACAACUAUUAGUGUGAUCUGGAUUCAGGGCUGAGGCUCUUCUGUAGAAACAGCAGAAGAUAGCAACAGACUGAAGGAAUAGUCAUGCCAUCUGGGUGAACAGCAGGUCGACUCUUGGUUCAGGAAAGACGAAGGUGGUAUGUGGUUCAGGUACAGUCAAAUACACGACCAAUAGCAGCAGCAGCCAUAACUCUCUCCAAAACAUAAAGACCACACAGAGUGUGCACAUAGGUGCCAGACACCACUACUUAAAGAGCUUGUUCCUAGGCCUGCUCCUUUUUAAAGAGAUAAUUUAAUUUUAAGUUUCAUGAGGGGCCAGGCAAAGUGGCUCAUGCCUGUAAUCCCAGCACUUUGGGAGGCUGUGGCAGGAUGAAUGCUUGAAGCCAGGAGUUUGAGACCAGUCUGGGCAACAAAGCAAAACCCUGUCUCUACAAAAAAUAAAAAAUCAGCUAGGUGUGCUGGGACGUGCCUGUAACCACAGCUACUCAGGAGACUGAGGCAGGAGGAUGGCUUGAGUCUAGGAGUUUGAGGCAGCAGUGAGCUAUGAUUGCACCACUAUACUCCAACCUGUGUCAAAGAGCAAGACCCUGUCUCUUAAAAAAAAAAUUUCAUGAGGGAGGGACCAUAUCUUAUUCAAGUACCUGAUACAGUGUUUGGCCCAACAGGUGUUCAAUAAAAUAAUUUCUAAUAAAAUUAUAAUAAUAGGCUUAACCCUGUUUCUCAGCAUAGAGUAAAGGAAAUAGAACACAGGCUAUAAAUAAUGUCAAGACAAUAUGCCUUCCAGCAUUUUCCUAAUAUGUAUAGUUGGCCAAGUACUACUAAGUACUAUCAGUCAAAUACUAUUAGAGCUCCUGAUGUCAUUGUCAAUGUAAAAAAAAAAAAAUGACAAGAAAAAAUCCAAAAUAUCUCAAGAUUAUUUCUAUUGAAUAGCCUCAGUUUGUUUCUAAUCUUUCCACAGCCCAUGUUCACAUCUGUGGCCUCCCUUUUAUGGGCUCUGGAGCUGUAAAUCUGAAAGAAGACAGAUAAGGUAGAAACCUUGUUAAACAAAAUCCUCAUCAAAAUGACAAACAUUCAAACAGGAGUGGCCUGCCUUUAUCUCCAGUUACCACCCAGUUUGGAUGGAGUCUGUUUCCCUUUUACAAAAGGUUUGCUGUAUGAGAAGGGAACAUUUUACCCAAGAGACCGAAAGUCACUCCCAACUAGGUAUUUCCCAAAGGAGUUGUACUGUAUGUUCCAGAGUGCAGCUGCUGAGCUAACUAUCUGGGUUGCAAUAAAAUGUCUUGAUUUUUAUCCAUGGUUGGACAGAUUGAGUUUUCUGAUAACCCCAGUCCAUUUCCCUAGAAAUGCAGGAUUUCUCCGCAGACAAAUAAUCUCUACAGUGGACCUCAAGACUUCAUACUAGGAUUCUGAAGAUGAUUGAGUCAAUGGAUGAGUGUAACGAACUUUUGGAAACUUCAAGGCAAUUAAAGGAAACUGCAGGAGGACCAGAAAAGAUCAAGACCAGGGCACGAGGGCUGAUCCAAACAACGGGGGCCGGCAUUUGUGAUCUUGGGUAGAGCCACCCCAGUGUGGGUCAACUCCACAGCAUUAGGAAAACCAGUUUAUCAGAAUUACCUUCUCAAGCAAUAGAUCUGUUCCUUGUCACAUUCUUAGAACUAAUAAAGACUUAUCUUUAUUACUACUAA